CUUCUUGAUUUUGGUUUGUAUGAUCAUUCUUUCUGUUAUCCAAAUUGUUAUUGAUGUACUUUCAUACUGGUGCCUCCAAUAAGUUAUUUUGGAUUCUGAACAUCUUCAUCGAAUCAAAAUGGUGCAUCGUAUUGAACUAUUGGAGAACAAACAGGCUGAGAUGAGAAGGACAGGAAAAGAAUGAGAACAUGAAAUGCAACGUGAAAUUGUCGAAACGAGAAGGCAAGCACAAGAAAAGGAAGAACAAGGACAGCAGGAGUUUGAUCAAAUGAAGAGAAGAUUUGAGGGAAAAAUAGAGGAAAUGCAGAGAAACUAUGAUGAAUAAUCCACGGGAAUGGAAGAAAGAAUCUUUGAAACACUGUUACAGAGGGAUGCCAAUCUUCACAAUGCUGGAAAGAGACUAGUAAGUAGACACUACUAAACUUUCAUUUAUUUAAUUAUCUGAAAUGUUUGACUACAUGCACACUUUUCUUGCUCUCAUUAGCUUGCCUCCACUUCUAGAUAUGAAGUUCAUAUUAGUGUUCAUACAAUAACACUCGACUAUAAAUUGGCUUAGAAUUGUCAAAUAUAACUUUAUUAAGAUUUAAAACUUCACUUUUGGUUUUACAUCAAAAAGUCUGUAGUAGGUUUUCGAUUCCAACAAUUGGUUGGUUCCUUAAGUACUACUAAACCAACAGGAUCAAACCCCUUGAGCCCGAUGUAGUCUUAUUUUUCAGUAAGGAACUUAGGCUGAAGUUACUUUUGUCUUAUUUUUUGUUAUAGGCUUAAUAAUUUAGCAAAACAUACCUGGCAGGGGGCUGGAAUUCCUUGGAAUUGCAUAGAUUUUAGAUCAUUUAACAUUAACCAAUAACUAAAGAAACUGCAUAGUUUUAUCACUAGAAAUUUUUAAUCUACUUGCAUGUGACCUGGUGCAAUAACUGUCCGGCUGCAGAUUGCAUAGAUCUUAUGUUAUAUCGAAUUUUUUGUGACAAAUUUGAGCAAAAAGAACCUGGUCCAUGGACUGUUUUAAUUAAUGUUUGUUGCACAAUGACACUAUCUAAUUAAUGACUCUCUAAUUCAUUUGCCGGUAAUAAAAGAUGACAGCUGAAAUCUGCAGUCUCUAUUGUGUUUCCAGUAAAGAACUAGUUUUGGUACAUAAUUUAGCACUAAGUAAGAUUUCAUCAGAAAUUUUUUAUGUAACCCACUUAGGUUGGUGCACUGUUGCAGUUGAACAAGUUUUAUUCGUUAGUGUUAGCAGUAAUUUAGUUUUUAUAUACAGUAUGGUCUGCCUUGAGCAUGUAGUCAAAGAUUAUUUCAAAUUACACACCUAUUCUGCAAGGUAGUUAUAAGUAUUCGGUUUGUGCAUAGAGAACCAUAUAUUGUAUUUUUCAUGCUAAUUGGUGAUUUAUUUUGUUUGAUUUUAGUUAGUUGAAAGUUGCAUUAACAAUGUUAAAAAAGAUUUUCUUUUGAUUGCGUGAACAUUGUUUUGUUUUGUCGAUUGGGUCACUUUAUAUCCUAGUGUUAAGAAAGAUAGGAGCUUUGAAUUUUGGUUGAACAGAAACACUAGUAUUUACUCAAUAGUUGAGUUUUUGUUUGAGUACAAUAUAUAGGUAUUGGCUUUGUUGAACUUUAUUCAUUCAAUUCAGUUUCUUACACUAUUAUUAUUAUUAUUAUUUUCAGAGGAUUGCUUAAAGCUGAGAAUUGUUGAUGUGGGACUUGGAGGAGGAAGAGUAUAGCUGGUACCAAGUUAUGCACACUUUUGGAACUGUUGGUACUAAGUUAAUGGACACUUUUGUAACUUAUAGGAAUUAGAUGCAAAGCAUUUUGAGAUGUUUUUACUUUUUAGUUGGUAUUUUAUUGGAUCUGCA
rnacentral:lncRNA from 1 species